CUUGGUUGAUCCUGCCAGCAGUCAUAUGCUUGUCUCAAAUAUUAAGCCAUGCAUGUGUAAAUAUGAACUAAUUUAAGCUGUGAAAUUAUGAAUGGCUCAUUAAAUCAGUUAUAGUUUGUUUGAUGGUAUCUACUACUCAGAUAACUGUAGUAAUUCUAUAGUUGAAGCAUAUAACAAACCCCUACUUCUGGAAGGGAUGAUUUAUUAGAUAAAAAGUCGAUGUGGGCUUUGCCCUUUGCUCUAAUUAUUCAUUAUAACUUGACAGAUCGCACAGCCUUUGUGCCAGGGAUGCAUCAUUCAAAUUUUUACCCUAUCAACCUUUGAUGGUAGGAUAGUGGCCUACUAUAGUGGUGACCGGUGACGAAGAAUUAGGGUUUGAUUCCAGAGAGGGAACAUGAGAAAAGGCUAACACAUCCAAGGAAGGCUACAGGCAAAAAAUUAACCAAUCUUGACACAGGGAGGUUGUGAUAAUAAAUAACAAGACCAGGCUCUAUGAGUCUAGUAAUUUAAAUGAAUACAAUCUAAAUCCCUUAAUGAGGAUCCAUUAGAGGGCAAGUCUGGUGCCAGCAGCCACAGUAAUUCUAUUUCUAAUAGCAUAUAUUUAAGUUGUUGCAGUUAAAAAACUCAUAGUUGAAACUAAGGUUGGGUCAUCUGGUCCACCUCACUUUGAGCACUAAUCUACUUGUCCUUAUAACCAACGAUGCACUUCUAACCUUAACUAGGUAGGUUAUUCCUCUGGUGAUGUUACUUUGAAAUAAUUAUAAUAAUCAAUGUAGGCUUACGUUUGUAUACAUUAGCAUAGGAUAACAUCAUAAGUUUUGGUGCUAUUGUGUUGGCCUUUGGGAUCGGAGUAAUGAUUAAUAAGGAUAAUUAAGGGCAUUCGUAUUUUGUAGUCAGAGGUGAAAUUCUUGGAUUUAUGAAAUAUGAACAAUUGCGAAAGCAUUUACCAAGGAUGUUUUCAUUAAUCAAAAAUAAAAGUUAGGGGCUCGAAGUUGAUCAAAUACCAUCCUAGUCUCAACUAUAAAUGAUGCCAACCAGGGAUCAACGAAUGUUACUUUUAAGACUCUGUCGGCAUCUUAUGAAAAAUCAAAGGUUUCAAAUUCUAAGGGAAGUAUGGUUACAAGACUAAAACUUAAAGAAAUUGAUAGAAGGGCACCAUUGGGAGUGGAGUUUGUAGUUUAAUUUGCCUCAACACAAGGAAACUUAUCAGGUCUAGACAUAGUAAGGAUUGACAUACUGAAAGCUCUUUUUUGAUUCUAUAGGUGGUGGGGCAUGGCCAUUCUUAGUUGGUAGAGCGAUUUGUCUGCUUAAUUUUAUUAACGAAUGAGACCUCAACCUAUUAACUAGCUACGAGGAGAUGAUCCUUCAUGGCUAGCUUUUUAAAGGGAUUAUGGCUACUUAGACUAAGAAAGUUUGAGGUAAUAACAGGUCUAUGAUGCCUUUAGAUGUUUUGGGCUACACAUGUGCUACACUGAUGUAUUCAACAAGUUUAUAGCCUUGGCCGAUAGGCCCUGGUAAUCUUUGAAAUUUCAUCGUGAUAGGCAUAGAUCAUUGUAAUUAUUGGUCUUCAACGAGGAAUUCCUAGUAAGUGCGAGUCAUCAACUUACAUUGACUACGUCCCUGCCCUUUGUACACACUGCUUGUUGCUCAUACCAAUUGAAUGGUCUGGUGAAGUAUUUAGAUUACAGUGACAUGGACGGUUCACUACCUAUGACAUUGCAAAAAGUCCACUAAACCUUAUCAUUUAGAGGAAGGAAGUCAUAACAAGGUUUCCAUAGGUGAACUUACGGAAG
rnacentral:rRNA from 1 species